AAAAUAAUUUAAAUAUAUAAAUAUUAACGAGUACAAUUCUCUUUCUAUCUCAAUGGGCAAAAUAGUAAUUAAAUUACACAAAGAACAAAAAUGUCUUUAAAAAACUCAAAAUACGAACAGAAUUUUACAACUGGAUUACAUUUCUUUGUCCUUCCUGAAGAGCCUGUUUUGCCUUUUGAGCGGCUUCUGAUGUUGUGAGCUUCAUCGGAAUCGUCCAUCAACCUCUGAAUGCUAUCUCUGCUCACCAUUCACCAGCUUCUCCCUCUCCCCAUAACUAAUGCCAAGCCACUCUGUGGCACCCACCUCCACCCCAAUCCCAUGCAUCUCUCAUCGGAACCCCAGCAGUAACAGCCUCCAAGGGCUGGAUUUGCGAAGGAUUUGGGCGUAGGAGGGAGUGGUAAUCACCGUCACGUGCUGCCCGCGUGAGGCGAAGAGUGUUGCUAUGUUGCAGAGAGGGAUCAAAUGCCCCUGUGACAGAAAUUCAUGGCAUAUAUGGAAGGCUUAGAAAAGUCAUUUCUUUCAAGGACUACUUUUUGCGGAAAAGUCAUUGUCUUUUUGCCAAUGCAGGAGAAAAGGAAGGACAUGAACGGACAAAAGGUGAAGAGAAUUUGAGAAGUGAGAUGAGAAUGAAAUCGCCUCAAGUCAUAAGUAUUUCGUUUUACGUUUAAUUAUUAUGUGGACUGAUUAUUUACUAAAUUUUUAAUUAGAUCUAUGAUUUAUUAUUAAAUUCUUAAAUUUUUAAUUAUUUUUUAAUUAG